GAUCAUGGCUCAGGAUGAACGCUAGCUACAGGCUUAACACAUGCAAGUCGAGGGGCAGCAUGGUCUUAGCUUGCUAAGGCCGAUGGCGACCGGCGCACGGGUGAGCAACACGUAUCCAACCUGCCGUCUACUCUUGGACAGCCUUCUGAAAGGAAGAUUAAUACAAGAUGGCAUCAUGAGUCCGCAUGUUCACAUGAUUAAAGGUAUUCCGAUAGACGAG
rnacentral:rRNA from 1 species